AUCAACCGAGAUUCCCCCAGUAGCGGCGAGCGAACGGGGAGCAGCCCAGAGUCUGAAUCAGCUUGUGUGUUAGUGGAACGGUCUGGAAAGUCCGACGGUACAGGGUGAUAGUCCCGUACACCAAAAUGCACAGGUUGUGAACUCGAAGAGUAGGGCGGGACACGUGGUAUCCUGUCUGAAUAUGGGGGGACCAUCCUCCAAGGCUAAAUACUCCUGACUGACCGAUAGUGAACCAGUACCGUGAGGGAAAGGCGAAAAGAACCCCGGCG
rnacentral:rRNA from 1 species